AGUUUAACGNUCNCNUGAGUUGANCUGCUCAGAUGACGCUGACAGAAUGNUACACAUGCAAGUCGACUGGAAUCUCUCGGAAGAUAGUACGGUGGCGGACGGGUGAGUAACGCGUAAAGAAUUUGCCCUUCAGACUGGGACAACUAAUCGAAAGGUUAGCUAAUACCGGAUAUUAUGAGACCUGGGCGUCAAGGACUUAUGAAAGCUAUAUGCGCUGAAGGAGAACUUUGCGUUCCAUUAGGUAGUUGGUAGGGUAAUGGCCUACCAAGCCGACGAUGGAUAGCCGGCCUGAGAGGGUGAACGGCCACAAGGGGACUGAGACACGGCCCUUACUCCUACGGGAGGCAGCAGUGGGGAAUAUUGGACAAUGGACCAAAAGUCUGAUCCAGCAAUUCUGUGUGCACGAUGAAGGUCUUCGGAUUGUAAAGUGCUUUCAGGUGGGAAGAAGAAAGUGACGGUACCACCAGAAGAAGCGACGGCUAAAUACGUGCCAGCAGCCGCGGUAAUACGUAUGUCGCAAGCGUUAUCCGGAAUUAUUGGGCGUAAAGCGAGUCUAGGCGGCUUGUUAAGUCAGAUGUGAAAAUGCGGGGCUCAACUCCGUAUUGCGUUUGAAACUGGCAGGCUAGAGUACUGGAGAGGUGGGCGGAACUACAGGUGUAGAGGUGAAAUUCGUAGAUAUUUGUAGGAAUGCCGAUAGUGAAGACAGCUCACUGGACAGAUACUGACGCUAAAGCUCGAAAGCGUGGGGAGCGAACAGGAUUAGAUACCCUGGUAGUCCACGCCGUAAACGAUGUUCACUGGGUGUAGGGGGUCGAACCUCUGUGCCGAAGCUAACGCGAUAAGUGAACCGCCUGGGGAGUGCGCACGCAAGUGUGAAACUCAAAGGAAUUGACGG
rnacentral:rRNA from 1 species